UCUCAGUCGGUUGGGUCCUGGGAGGAGGGGAUGGACAGAGCAUUGAACCCACAGUGCCCCUUUCUUCCUUCCCACCCCUCCCCACAGCCUAAGACCCUCCGGUACCUUAACCUCCCCCUUUCCUCCAAAGGAAAAAAAUGGGAAUAGUAUAUUCAUGCCCAUUGACAUCAUGGAUUUUCCUGCUGGUCCUGAUUUAAAAUAUCUUGAAAGUUUACUUUCAAAGGAUAGCUUUGUGUUAAAGGAGAAAAUAAAAACCUGGAGCCUCCUACCCUAUAGCGUUUCCUGGGACCACAAAAAACAACCUGGGCUAUCUGCCUCUGGCACCUUGGAUUCCAGACCAAUAUGAUGGCACCCAGGCCACCAGCUCCUGGGAUCUCUGCUGAUUUAGCAAUGACUCCCCCAGGUUUUACACCUGCAGCACCCUGCACCAUCCCCGCCCCCCUGCAGAGUCACACCCAGAUGCUGCUUGGCUGCUGCUUUGGAGGAAUCAGUGUUCCAGAACAGUGCUUCUCAUACCUUAGUGUGUAUCAGAAUCACAGAGGGGGCUUGUCAAGACUGGUUUACUAGGUCUGGGGUGCAGUCAAAAAAAUUUGCAUUUUUACCAAGUUCCCCUGUGAGGCAGAUGCUACUGGAUCAGAGACAAAACUUCUAGAGCUGCUGUUUCAGGGCACCGAGCUGGUAGGGGGAAAGGAGAAGCAGUAAGAAGUCUGUGGCUGUUACUUGGCUGUUUUGUUUCCCCUCCUUGGCAGUGCGGGGGUGAGGGCGAGGGCAAGGAGGAAUGUGUGCCAGACUGCAGAGGCCCCAAGGGGGCCUGACCUCUUGGGAUGCUGUAAAUCUUUAUCUUUUCUUUCUAGACUAGUGGUUCUGAAACUUGGCAGCACAUUGGAUUCCCUUUGGGAGCUUUAAAAAAAUUCCUGAUGACUGGCCUCCAGUCCCAGCGAUCUUGCUUAAAUCGGUUUGGAGGUUGCUUUGGGCAUUGGACCAUAUGAAAGCUCCCUAGCUUGGGAACCACUUUCAGGAGGCCUCGCAGAGCAGAGGGAAGCUGGGCCUCGUUUCACACCCUCCAUGGCAUUUACCAUCCAGCGGACUGGCCUUGAGAAAAGUCUGCCUUGCAGUCAGUGAAGGCCUGUGGAACUUGAGAGGAAUUCCUUCCAGCUCUCCAACUGACCUCCAACUUUAGGAGCACAUGGCCUUCAGAGCACUUGGUGGCGAAAGAAGGCAGCAUUGAUCUGGUGUCUCUGGAAGAUCUUCCAAGUGGCCUAGUAAGACUGGAACAGCUCAGAAGAAAUCAUCUGCUCACUCAUACAUUCCACAAAGCACGUCUUGAGUACCUACUAGAUGGAGAUAUAUUGAUUUAUAUCUAUGUAUCUAUCUAUUAUCUAUCUAUCAUCUCUCUAUAUCUAUCUAUCUAGUUCUAGAUACAUAGCUCACAAUAUGGCUAUUCCAUAAGUAAAACUUGGCAAUACAGUGAAACAAGUACAGUAUCAGGGUGGGCUCAAAGAGCUGUGGAGUGAAAGAUAGCCUGUCUUGAGUAGGACAAGAGAGACGGGCAUUCCAGGAAAACAGAAUGAAGGGAGUAAGCACAAAGAAACAUUGAAGGACCGCUAUCACCUAGGCCUGGGAAGUUUCAGUGUGGCCAGCACACAGGAUGAGUUUAUGGAAGGAGAAAAGUAUUUGGAGAUGCAAAGAUAGAUUGGAGCAGCUCAUGAACCUACCCCACUGACUUGUCAACCUGGCCUAGAAGUGGGAAUGAAGGCAGUGAAGAAGAGGAAGGCUGAGGGCAGAUGGAGUGGAUUGAGGGCCCCAGGGGGAUGAAAUGAGAGGAAAUGAAUAUCAAGAAGUUUAUAAAUGCAUUGACUACAUUCUGUGGGCCAGGCAAUGAGCUAGGUACUCCAUCCACAUUUAACACCCAUAGUCACCAGAGAGGUGAGUCCUGUAAUUAUCUUUUAUUUUACAGAUGAGACUUGGGAUAUGGAGGUAAAAUAAAUUGCUCAGUCACAGAUAGUGAGAGAGCUGAGAUUCAAACCCUGGCUGUCUUAUCCAAAGGAGAAAUAACUUAAGGCCAGAAACGUAAGAAAAGGAGAAGGAAGUAAAGUAAAUACUUGUCUCAAGUUAUUUGUCUAUUUCAUUAUAAGUACUCAUUUUUAGAAAUGUUUUAUUUGUCCUAGGAGGCCUUUCUUUCCAAAAUCUUUGGUAAAAUUUUCUUCUUUGCUUGUGCCUUUUCUUAUUUCCUUCUCUCUGCAACCAGCUCAUUGUGAAAAUCUUUUCAGAAUGCAGUUGUAUGGAAAGCUAAUGCAAAAUAAAAAUUAGUCUGUAAAAUAUAUUAACAAGGUAAGCAGCAUCUCUUUGUGGGUCUCUCUGCACGGGUGAUUUGUUUCUCAGUGCUGGGGUCUGGAGAGGAGAGUCACAGUGUCUGUUUUGUUUUUUCAUAUUUCCUGAGCAGGACACCGGGACUUUUGGAACUCAUGCAUAUCCACCCAUAGUUCAGUAUAAACUGACAUGCAAAAUAAUUUGAAUAGGACAGAAAAAAAAAAAAAAAGGAAAGAACACCAAUGAAAUGCCUAGUCACCACCAUGAGUCUGACUUGUGCUUCUACGUGAUUUAUCAAUAUAGUCAGACUGCUUAGUGUAUGAAUCCAUCUUUGUCCAUGAGCAGGGGGAGAAGAGAAGCCUGUGGUCGUAUCUGCAUGGCCAAUAAUGGUGUCCUUUCAUAGAUAAUAGAAUGUAUAUCAGGAUGCAAGGCUGCCUCUAGUGAGAAUCCAACUUUAAACAGACCAAGCUGGGAGGCUCCUUAUCAAUGAUGUCAUGAGUAGUUUCAGUUUGCCUCUGGGAGGAGUUUUUACAAGAAGGUCUAGCUCCAAGGGUGGUGGACGGAUUCUCUGAACUAGAGGGGCUCUCUCCCCUGUUCUCAUAGCACUGUUCCCUCUCCCAACCAUCCCACAGGACCCGAGUGGGAAGGUAGAGAGUGUGAAUAUCACAGUCUCCCCACCACGCUACUGCAGGGACAUUGCAUAUGCAUAUGCAGAUGAGCCAACCAGAACUGUUCUUGAACUUUAGAAGACUCUGGAUUCAGUGAAAUGUAAUUGGAUGCUCAUUCCUGGGUACCCGUGGGCAAACUGCCUAAGUUCUUUGAGUAACUUGAGAUAGCAAAGAAAGAAGAAAUACAUCUCAGUGAAGACCACAUUUCUACAACACCCCAAAUUUACUUUCAGGGUUUGGCUCUAUUUCUUUCUGUGAGACACAAGAGUUUAGAGCCGGGAAAAUAAAUCUGACUGCUCAUCUGACACAUCCGAUCUGGUUGUUGAAAGGACUGAGAUACCAGCCAAUUGUUCAUGACCUGUCUCAUCGGGAGCUCAGCAGCUGGCUGCUAAUGGUCAGACACGCAGACCUGGCCAGAGUCCACAAUGGAAGGUUGGAGUAUUGUGCUUGAGGAUGGCUCAGGAUGGAGUCCUUUGGAAGGACACCAGCCAGAUGUCCAGGCCCAUUUGGCUGGUCAGGCGGCAGCUGCUUUGUUGCUCUGUGGGAUGAAGCAGCAUUCUCGACCCGUGGAGCUCAGUGGUCAAGCCACAGAGUCAUUCAGAGGCAGGGUGAGGGCAGAGUCCCACACAGAAUGGCAGCACCUGCGGUGUCCGGGGAGCCAAAUACUUGAGCAGUUCCAGAAAAAGUUUAAAAAAAUCUCUCCUCCUCCCAGCCUGCUCUUUGUUAAUUGGAAUUACACAAACUUCAACAUCUGUUACAUGCAUCCAUGCCCAAGAAGAGAUGGAAAGAAGGAGGUGGCGCGGAAAGAUGCCUGGCACUUCCUUUUCCUGGUGGCCCCUCACCUUCUGCAACAUCACUUCCCACCGAGGCCGGAACCACCGAAGACACUCCUUCAGGCAACAGAGGAGCACUUUGGAACAUGCAAAGAUUUGUCCACGGAGCCUCACGGACGGAUGAAAACACGACCUGUCCUGGGUCUGAUUAGCAGAAACACACAAGGAUAAUAAAAGCUAGCUUGCACUUAGUAUGAUUUUUCAAGGCACUACUGGACAGUGUUCCCCCAGUCCUUUGCACUCAACAACAUCCCCAUUUAUAAUCAGAGACUGAUUUGGUGGUUGAAGGACUUACAGGAAGAAGAUCACAGGCUUAGUAAUGGUGAAGCCAGAACUGCCAGGAUUCUGCCGUCAGAUCCCUGUUCUGUUUCCGUGCGUCCACCAGUUUCUGGACACUUGAGGCAGUCGCUGGGGUGGCAGCUGUAAGCAAGACAUCCAGUGGCAGAAAUCUAAGGGGAUCCAGAACCAAGAGCUGGUGAGGGGCCCUGCAAGGCCUCCAGCAUUGAGGCCUCCAGGCCCUUGGUGCUCACCUCAUAGUUGCUCCCAAGAACAGAGCUUUGUCUCUCUUGUUUAUCUAUGGAUCCCUAGUGCCUUGAACAGAAGUACUCAACAAACACUUGCUGAAUUAACUUGGUGCACUAUUAUCCCUCCCAGAGGGUUAAAGGGAAAGGGACUUUGUUGUGGUCCAUGUUGGAUUCUCCUAUGAACUAUGAAGGAGAAUAUUAUAGUGAAUGCUUCGAUGGCUCUGAAGAGAUAAAUAAAGCUUCCAUCCUGGUUCUCUGCAUUAAAAGCCUUGGGACCUUGGGCUAGUUACUUAAACCCCUUGAAGGCUUCAUUGCAUUCUGUGUAAAAUGGGGAACACAGGAGUGUUAUGAGGAUUAGAGGAGAUAAUGCGUGAUGGAUGCUCAGCCUUUAAACAUUUAGCCCUUUUGGUUUUCUUUCUUUCUUUUUUUUUUUUAAGAUUUAAGAAAAAUAAGAUUUUAUUUAUUUAUGAGAGAGAGAGAGGCAGAGGGAGAAGCAGGCUCCAUGCAAGGAGCCGGACGUGGGACUCAAUCCGGGGACUCCAGGAUCACGCCCUGGGCUGAAGGCAGGCGCUAAACCGCUGAGCCACCCAGGGAUUCCCCCACUUUUGGUUUUCAUCACGAACUUGAAUCAUGGAUUGUAAGCAUGGAGGAUGAUGAAGCCACUACCUCUAUGCUCUAUUAUCCUUACAUAUCUGAGGAGUCAGGGCAUUCUUGGGAUUUAUCUCUCAGGGGGUGUCAAGGUUCUACUGCAUAGAACAUGCUCUCAAAAAUAGUCCCUCCUCCCCGUGGUCACCUCUCACAGCAUGAAUAUAUUUAUUGGUGGAUGUAUGAAUUCCAUACCUACUCUCCCAUCAAAAUAAUUAAUGUUUCAUGGCUUCCUUUUAAGUAUAUUGUACUAUUGACAAGUCAGAGAAAAAUAA